UACAGAGGUCCCAAGCGUUGUCCGGAAUCAUUGGGCGUAAAGCGCGUGUAGGCGGUUACGUAAGUCUGCUGUGAAAGUCGGAGGCUCAACCUUCGAAAGCCGGUGGAUACUGCGUGACUAGAGUACGGAAGAGGAGAGUGGAAUUCCUGGUGUAGCGGUGAAAUGCGCAGAUAUCAGGAGGAACACCAACGGCGAAGGCAGCUCUCUGGGACGUUACUGACGCUGAGACGCGAAAGCGUGGGGAGCAAACGGG
rnacentral:rRNA from 1 species